rnacentral:rRNA from 1 species
GAUGAACGCUGGCGGCGCGCCUAACACAUGCAAGUCGAACGGCACCCCUCCUCGGAGGGAAGCGAGUGGCGAACGGCUGAGUAACACGUGGAGAACCUGCCCCCUCCCCCGGGAUAGCCGCCCGAAAGGACGGGUAAUACCGGAUACCCCCGGGCGCCGCAUGGCGCCCGGGCUAAAGCCCCGACGGGAGGGGAUGGCUCCGCGGCCCAUCAGGUAGACGGCGGGGUGACGGCCCACCGUGCCGACAACGGGUAGCCGGGUUGAGAGACCGACCGGCCAGAUUGGGACUGAGACACGGCCCAGACUCCUACGGGAGGCAGCAGUGGGGAAUCUUGCGCAAUGGGGGGAACCCUGACGCAGCGACGCCGCGUGCGGGACGGAGGCCUUCGGGUCGUAAACCGCUUUCAGCAGGGAAGAGUCAAGACUGUAC